ACCAAAAUCAACCUCCUCUACUCCUGAGACCACAGUGUGACUGAGAGCCUAGACUACAUGGCUACUUGGAACAUGAACAUGUUGCAGACACAGGAUCUUAUGAAGUCAGCGCAGACAGCCCCGGAAAAGAAGAGUCCGAAAGACGUGCCCUUCUCCAAGCUUUAAAGGAGAAGAUCCAGGGCUGUUGAAGCUGCGGUGGAACUGAGACUUCAUCAUCCACAUAUCUUUAGUUCUUCUUGCUAAGUCUCAGUUUCUUUUUAGUCUUUUUAUUUUUAGACUGGUCAAAAGACCGAUUAGUGGAAGUGAAAUGAUAGAUGAACUUGCUUGAUUAUUUGCAGGUGCUUUGUAUAGUAAGACAGGGUAACUAAUACUCAAAAGCUUGUUUUGUGUGUUAACAUGUACAGUAGAUGUACAUAUUUUUUUCUGGUGCUGUGUGACUGCAGAAUGUAGUGCAGUUAACACAGUAAAUUUCCUUGGAUGCUCACUUUUAACUCGAGGAGGUCACAGGUUGCCCAGACAUCUUUUUUUAAAUCUGUCAAUCCGUCACCUGCACGUCAUUCUGGGGGACGAAGAGGAGGAAGCUGGACAGAUAAAUUUAUUUAUUUAUUUAUCAUUGCUGUGUUUCCUCAGUCGAGUGCAGAAAGAAGAAAAACAACACAACUGGUUUAAAAUAAAAAUAGAAAACAAUCUAAUGUAAGGUUCUGAUCCGGUUUGCUUUCAGCAGGAAGGCUGUCCUCUUUCCUGUUGCUCUUUCCCUUCUAUUAGUCCAUUUGUCCAGUCUGAAUCGGUUUGAUUGUUUGAUUCGUUUUCAGAUGAUUCGGAGUCAAAUAAUUUUCUAGUGAGAGUCGCACAAUUCCAAACGAACUAGACUGAGAUGAGUAUUUGAUUCUCACUAGAAAGUGAUUCGACUCUGAAUCAACUCGAAAUGAAUCAGUCAAACUGAUUCAGACUCUAUAAAAGGACUAUGAGAUGUGAUUAAGAUAUAUAUUCCAAUGUUUUGCUUUACAAUUCCACUGUGUGUGUGUGUGUGUGUGUGCACACGCAUAUGUGUUUUUCAGGAGAACGAGAAACUCUGACACAAGAGUACAUCCUGACCAUUGGUACUGUGUACACAUCAACAUACACACACGUCUCCAUGCUGGACAGCUCAGGAGCUUUCACACACAGUGCUAGGAAUAUCCCGGAACAGAGAAACGCACCUCCUACGUGAGCGAGUUUAGCGUCAACCGGUGAAAUUUGCUGUAGCGUGAACACUUCGCCUCUGUGAGCUUCACUCUCCGUCAGGUUCACUGUAAUUAGACAUAAAAUGUACAUAAUGUUAAUUUUUCAUACAUUUAGGAUUUAAUUUUUUUUUUUUUACCCUUCGAGGAACAGAAAUGAUCUUUUGAGGCAGCUUCAUCAUUACCUGCUCCGUUUGAUUCAAAAACAUAACGACCGGUUUCAAAAAGUCAGGAUGUCUUCAGUUCAUGUGAUUUUACUGUUGAAUUUAAACAGGAAAUGUGAAUUUUUUUUCCCCUUUAUGUUUCCUCUACUGUCUUUUUGCUGUGAUCUUGAACACAGUUGUAAUUUUUUUUAAAUAAAUAAAUGAUCAUUCUAUUCUUUCUCACUUUCCUUGUCCUAAUUGUCCUGUAUCUGUUAAAUCCGUUUCAUCUCUGGUCUUUCUGUCUGUAUGAACACUUGUAGAAAUGACUUGUAGUCCAUAUUUUUGAAUAUUUUUAUUCAUGAUUUUGAAUUUAAAUAAAGAUAUUCUUUAAUUCUG